rnacentral:lncRNA from 1 species
GAGGUAUCCUACAACUGAGAUGAAUAAAAACUAAAUGUUAUUAUUUAUUUUAGCACCAAAAUGGAGACAGGCCUGUUUAUCUAUGCUAAACUGAGACAAUAAAACUAUUUAGCUAUAAUUAAAUCUAAUCUCCAGUGUCUUUCUGCUCAGGCAGGAUUAAAAGCAGGUCUCUCAGCCAAUGAGUUGGAGGAAUUUCUGACUCUCUCCAAAUCUCAGCCAAUCAAAGACAGGCUGAAGAGUGUCACACGGGAAGCACUGGAGUAUAAAUGCUUUGGUCUUCCAUUCAUCGUGUGUCAUGUGAAUGGGAAGGCUGAGGUCUUCUUUGGUUCUGACAAAUUUGAGCUCAUGGCUUAUUUCAUUGGGGAGAAGUGGAUGGGGCCUUACCCUAACAAGCCCACAGCCACAAUGUGAUCACUACUCCUCCAUACUCAAUAUCCAUAUUCAACAGCACACACACAAACACAGAGAUUUACAUUUAAAGGGGAAAUUUAAUAAAAUUUUCACUUUUUGGGUGUUUUUUUUUUUUUGCAUUUAGUUAGGUUUCUGGUGUGUCUGCCAGCUCGGAAAAGCUAAAAAGAAAACAAGCAGCCAGUUUGUUGAGUCUGAAACUGUGUCAUCCAGUGAGAAAUUUCAAUUUGCAGCCAGUUUCUAUGUAGCUAUUUGAAUAAGACCACCUCCGAGCCACAUGUUACAGACACUUCAUGAAGGCCCUAAAGAAUCACCAACUUGUGGAAAAUGGUGUGGCAUUCGUUGGCAGCUGCCACCCUAAGAAAAUACUUAUCUGCCACCUAGAAUUAUGCAGAACUAGUCUGUGUUUAUUGUGUUCAUGAAUAAAGGAACAAGGAAAAAUAGAUCUAUUUUGUUGUCAUUUGUUAAGAAAAUUUUAACAAAAGAUAAUAAUGCUUGUUUUGAUGGCUCGCUCAUUUGCUGCCACCUACUGGCGUAAAUGUAACAUCAAUGAAGGAAUCAGAAUCUGAAAAUCCUUUUUUUGGUCUGAAUCAAAUGACUGGAGUCACUGAAAAUCAACAACGAGAAUCAUAACUACAGGGCUGUUACGAUUCCUCGUAACUUACUCCAUUAUAUAUAAGUGGCGCAUUCCACUGACGAGAAUUCAUGAACCGCAUUAUAAAAAUCAUAAUAAAGC